GACGAACGCUGGCGGCGUGCCUAAUACAUGCAAGUUGAGCGCUCAAGCUUGGUUCUUGUUCCUCCUGCAUGAGCAGCGCACGGGUGAGUAACGCGUGGGGAACCUGCCUUUAAGCCUGGGACAACAUCUUGAAACCACUGCUAAUACCGCAUAAAAUCUUUAACCACAUGUUUUAAGUUUGAAAGACGCUAUUGCCUCACUCAAAGAUGCUCCCGCGUUGGAUUAGCUAGUUGGUGAGGUAAAGGCUCACCAAGGCGAUGAUACAUAGCCGACCUGGGAGGGGGAUAGGCCACAACGGGACUGAGACACGGCACAAACCCCGACGGGAGGGAGCAGUAGGGAAUCCUCGGCCAAGGACGAAAGGCUGACCGAGGAACGCCGGGGGAGGGAAGAAGGGUUUCGGAACGGAAAAAUCAGGUGGUAGAGAAGAACGUUGGGGAGAGUGAAAGGCGCAGCAAGUGACGGGAACUACCCAGAAAGGGACGGCUAACUACGUG
rnacentral:rRNA from 1 species